AGAGAAAGAACAGAGAGAAACGGUGGUGCUAAUGCUAACGUUAGCUAAAACAAAGUGGUGGAGCGAUCUAGAGAAAGAACAGAGAGAAGCGGCGGUGCUAAUGGUAACGCUACAUAAAACAAAGAGGUGGAGCGAUCUAGAGAAAGAACAAACAGAAGCGGCGGUGCUAAUGCUAACACUACAUAAAACAAAGCGGUGGAGCGAUCUAGAGAAAGAACAGAGAGAAGUGGCGGUGCUAAUGCUAACGCUACAUAAAACAAAGCGGUGGAGCGAUCUAGAGAAAGAACAGAGAGAAGGGGCGGUGCUAAUGCUA